UACGGAGGGUGCGAGCGUUGUCCGGAAUCACUGGGCGUAAAGGGCGCGUAGGUGGCGACCCAAGUCAACGGUGAAAGCUCGGCGCUCAACGCCGAGUCGGCCGUCGAUACUGGGUUGCUCGAGCACUGUAGAGGCAGAUGGAAUUCCGGGUGUAGCGGUGGAAUGCGUAGAGAUCCGGAAGAACACCGGUGGCGAAGGCGGUCUGCUGGGCAGUAGCUGACACUGAGGCGCGACAGCGUGGGGAGCAAACAGG
rnacentral:rRNA from 2 species